GACUUUCUUUUCUCCUCCUUUUUUCCCCACCCCAAGCUUCUCUGCGUUUUGUAUCCCCGUUGUUUAAGCUUUGGCAAGGCCCCAGAGGAAAUGAAUCCCAGAAACUUUCCUGGUGCAGUAAGAGCAAACCAAAGGAGCAGGCAAAGAGGACACAGGCAGCAGGAAUGUCAUCUCUUACAUGGACAAGACCAAGAAAGGAAUGAGGGGCCCUCACUGGAUGGCGGCUGCAGGACACCUAAAUCUUUCAGAGAAAGGGAAUUUAUUGCUCCCUUAUCAGCAGAAAACUAACUUCUUCCCACCUUGCUCAGACUGGGAGACGGCAUGAGGAUUAAGAGGAAGAAGUUGACAGUGACCAGACAGA